AAGUUUUGGUCCUAAACUUGCCAUUGUUUUUUAUCAAAAUUAUACAUGCAAGCCUCCACGAACCAGUGAGAAUGCCCACAUAUUCCCAAACAGCCCACCGGAGCAGGCAUCAGGACACAACAAAGCUUUUGGCCGAAGACGCCUUGUACACACCACACCCACACGGGCUUUCAGCAGUAAUUAACAUUAAAACAUGAGCGAAAGCUCGACUUAGUCAUGAUCUAGAAGGUCGGUAAAUUUCGUGCCAGCCACCGCGGUUAUACGAAAGACCAAAAACAAUGACUCACGGCGUAAGGCGUGACUAGAGGAAUACAAACAUUAAAGGAGAACACCUGCCAAGUCGUAAAACACUACUGCACACUAGAACAGCAACAACAAAGCGCCUUUAACCCACUUCACCUCACGAAAGCCAAGAAACAAACUGGGAUUAGAUACCCCACUAUGCUUGGCCCUAAACACAGAUAGCACAAACACAAUGCUAUCCGCCAGAGAACUACAAGCGAAAAGCUAAAAACUCUAAGGACUUGGCGGUGCUUCAAAUCUACCUAGAGGAGCCUGUCCUACAAUCGAUACCCCACGUUUCACCCUACCCCUCCUAGCCAACCAGCCUAUAUACCGCCGUCGUCAGCCUACCUUAUGAAAGAAGCAAAGUGAGCCAAAAAGUUAAUUACUAACACGUCAGGUCAAGGUGUAGCACACGGAGCGGCAGAGAUGGGCUACAUUUUUCCGGGGGAAAAACACGAACAGUGAACUGAAACACACACUUGAAGGCGGAUUUAGUAGUAAAACAAGCAAGAAUACUUGUUUUAAACCUGCUCUGAAGCGCGCACACACCGCCCGUCACCCUCAUCA
rnacentral:ncRNA from 1 species